GAUGAACGCUGACAGAAUGCUUAACCCAUCAGCAAUUGAUUGGUGGCGGACGGGUGAUUAACGCGUAAAGAACUUGCCUCACAGCUAGGGACAACAUUUGGAAACGAAUGCUAAUACCUAAUACUGUGCGAGAGCGUUGCGUCCCAUUAGCUAGUUGGAGAGGUAACGGCUCACCAAGGCGAUGUGGGGUAGCCGGCCUGAGAGGGUGAUCGGCCACAAGGGGACUGGGACGCGGCCCUUGGGCCUACGGGGGGCAGGGGGGGGGAAUAUUGGACAAUGGACCAAAGUGUGAUCCAGCAAUUCGGUGUGCAAGAUGAAUUUUUCGGAAUGUAAAGUGCUUUCAGUUGGGAAGCGGUACCAACAGAAGAAGUGACGGCUAAAUACGUGCCAGCAGCCGCGGUAAUAC
rnacentral:rRNA from 1 species